UAGGGAAUCUUCGGCAAUGGGGGGAACCCUGACAGAGCAACGCCGCGUGAGUGAAGAAGGUUUUCGGAUCGUAAAGCUCUGUUGUUAAGGAAGAACGAGUGUGAGAAUGGAAAGUUCAUGCUGUGACGGUACUUAACCAGAAAGGGACGGCUAACUACGUGCCAGCAGCCGCGGUAAUACGUAGGUCCCGAGCGUUGUCCGGAUUUAUUGGGCGUAAAGCGAGCGCAGGCGGUUAGAUAAGUCUGAAGUGAAAGGCAGUGGCUCAACCAUUGUAGGCUUUGGAAACUGUUUAACUUGAGUGCAGAAGGGGAGAGUGGAAUUCCAUGUGUAGCGGUGAAAUGCGUAGAUAUAUGGAGGAACACCGGUGGCGAAAGCGGCUCUCUGGUCUGUAACUGACGCGGAGGCUCGAAAGCGUGGGGAGCGAACAGG
rnacentral:rRNA from 1 species